rnacentral:rRNA from 1 species
AUUGAACGCUGGCGGCAUGCCUUACACAUGCAAGUCGAACGGCAGCACGGGAGCAAUCCUGGUGGCGAGUGGCGAACGGGUGAGUAAUGUAUCGGAACGUACCAUUGAGUGGGGGAUAACGUAGCGAAAGUUACGCUAAUACCGCAUAUACCCUGAGGGGGAAAGCAGGGGAUCGCAAGACCUUGUGCUCUUUGAGCGGCCGAUAUCAGAUUAGCUAGUUGGUGAGGUAAAGGCUCACCAAGGCGACGACCUGUAGCGGGGCUGAGAGGAUGAUCCGCCACACUGGAACUGAGACACGGUCCAGACUCCUACGGGAGGCAGCAGUGGGGAAUUUUGGACAAUGGGGGCAACCCUGAUCCAGCCAUGCCGCGUGAGUGAAGAAGGCCUUCGGGUUGUAAAGCUCUUUCGGCCGGGAGGAAAUCGCAUCAGCUAAUACCUGGUGUGGAUGACAGUACCGGAAUAAGAAGCACCGGCUAACUGCGUGCCAGCCGCCGCCGUAA